rnacentral:rRNA from 1 species
GCCUACGGGGGGCAGCAGUCGAGAAUCAUUCACAAUGGGGGAAACCCUGAUGGUGCGACGCCGCGUGCAGGAAGAAGGUCUUCGGAUUGUAAACUGUUGUCGCAGGGGAAGAAGACAGUGACGGUACCCUGUGAGAAAGUCACGGCUAACUACGUGCCAGCAGCCGCGGUAAUACGUAGGUGACAAGCGUUGUCCGGAUUUACUGGGUGUAAAGGGCGCGUAGGCGGGAUAGCAAGUCAGUCGUGAAAUGCCGAGGCUUAACCUCGGAGCUGCGAUUGAAACUGUUAUUCUUGAGUAUCGGAGAG